rnacentral:rRNA from 1 species
AUGAACGCUGGCGGCGUGCUUAACACAUGCAAGUCGAACGGUGAAAGCGAGCUUGCUCUCUGGAUCAGUGGCGAACGGGUGAGUAACACGUGAGCAAUCUGCCCCUGACUCUGGGAUAAGCGCUGGAAACGGCGUCUAAUACCGGAUACGAGCUGCGAAGGCAUCUUCAGCAGCUGGAAAGAACUUCGGUCAGGGAUGAGCUCGCGGCCUAUCAGCUAGUUGGUGAGGUAACGGCUCACCAAGGCGUCGACGGGUAGCCGGCCUGAGAGGGUGACCGGCCACACUGGGACUGAGACACGGCCCAGACUCCUACGGGAGGCAGCAGUGGGGAAUAUUGCACAAUGGGCGAAAGCCUGAUGCAGCAACGCCGCGUGAGGGACGACGGCCUUCGGGUUGUAAACCUCUUUUAGCAGGGAAGAAGCGAAAGUGACGGUACCUGCAGAAAAAGCACCGGCUAACUACGUG